CAGUCGCCGCGGUAAUACGGAGGGAGCUAGCGUUAUUCGGAAUUACUGGGCGUAAAGCGCACGUAGGCGGCUUUGUAAGUUAGAGGUGAAAGCCUGGAGCUCAACUCCAGAAUUGCCUUUAAGACUGCAUCGCUUGAAUCCAGGAGAGGUGAGUGGAAUUCCGAGUGUAGAGGUGAAAUUCGUAGAUAUUCGGAAGAACACCAGUGGCGAAGGCGGCUCACUGGACUGGUAUUGACGCUGAGGUGCGAAAGCGUGGGGAGUAAACAGGAUUAGAUACCCCCGUAGUCCCUGUCUCUUAUAC
rnacentral:rRNA from 1 species